rfam:Tatumella morbirosei strain LMG 23360 Contig2, whole genome shotgun sequence.
CUCGACACGACAUUGCUCACAUUGCUUCCAGUUAUCUUUGCCCGCUGACCGCGGGCUUUUUUUU